GGCUGAUAGUACUGUGCAACAACACCAUAUGUUCUGUUACCACAGACAUCUGUGAAGACCAGGAAGUGAAUGUGGUCCUCUCUUGGUUCAGAAGUUAUAAAAAGUCCUCCUGGGAAGCACAGCUGUGGCAAACCUAUGAGAUCAAUGUCCUUUGGAACUGUAAUAUCUUCAGUGCCAGGGGCUUUCUGCUCCCCAUUGACAGUCUUUGCAUUUUCCAACUUUGGUCUC
rnacentral:lncRNA from 1 species